rnacentral:rRNA from 1 species
UCGGGAAUUUUGGGCAAUGGGCGAAAGCCUGACCCAGCAACGCCGCGUGAAGGAUGAAGUCUCUCGGGAUGUAAACUUCGUAAGAAUAGGAAGAAUAAAUGACGGUACUAUUUGUAAGGUCCGGCUAACUACGUGCCAGCAGCCGCGGUAAUACGUAGGGACCAAGCGUUGUUCGGAUUUACUGGGCGUAAAGGGCGCGUAGGCGGCGUGGUAAGUCACUUGUGAAAUCUCCGAGCUUAACUCGGAACGGUCAAGUGAUACUGCUGUGCUAGAGUACAGAAGGGGCAAUCGGAAUUCUUGGUGUAGCGGUGAAAUGCGUAGAUAUCAAGAGGAACACCUGAGGUGAAGACGGGUUGCUGGGCUGAUACUGACGCUGAGGCGCGAAAGCUAGGGUAGCAAACGGGAUUAGAUACCCUCGUAGUCCCUGAGCGGGCUGGCAAGGCGCAU